rnacentral:rRNA from 1 species
GAUUAACGCUGGCGGCGUGCCUAACACAUGCAAGUCGAACGAGGUAGCAAUACCUAGUGGCAGACGGGUGAGUAACGCGUGGUCAACCUACCGUUGAGUGGGGGAUAACUAGCCGAAAGGUUAGCUAAUACCGCAUACGUCUCCGAGGGGCAUCCCUUGGCGAUAAAAGGAGCAAUCCGCUCGAUGACGGGACCGCGUCCCAUUAGCUAGAUGGUGGGGUAACGGCCUACCAAGGCGACGACGGGUAGCCGGCCUGAGAGGGCGACCGGCCACACUGGGACUGAGACACGGCCCAGACUCCUACGGGAGGCAGCAGUGGGGAAUCUUGCGCAAUGGGCAAAGCCUGACGCAGCGACGCCGCGUGAGGGAU